rnacentral:rRNA from 1 species
AGUGAACGCUGGCGGUAGGCCUAACACAUGCAAGUCGAACGGCAGCACAGUAAGAGCUUGCUCUUACGGGUGGCGAGUGGCGGACGGGUGAGGAAUACAUCGGAAUCUACUUUUUCGUGGGGGAUAACGUAGGGAAACUUACGCUAAUACCGCAUACGACCUACGGGUGAAAGCAGGGGAUCUUCGGACCUUGCGCGAUUGAAUGAGCCGAUGUCGGAUUAGCUAGGUGGCGGGGUAAAGGCCCACCAAGGCGACGAUCCGUAGCUGGUCUGAGAGGAUGAUCAGCCACACUGGAACUGAGACACGGUCCAGACUCCUACGGGAGGCAGCGGUGGGGAAUAUUGGACAAUGGGCGCAAGCCUGAUCCAGCCAUACCGCGUGGGUGAAGAAGGCCUUCGGGUUGUAAAGCCCUUUUGUUGGGAAAGAAAAGCAGCAGGUUAAUACCCCGCUGUUCUGACGGUACCCAAAGAAUAAGCACCGGCUAACUUCGUG